GGGAAGGUAGCUCAGUGGUAGAGCGCUUGCCUUGCACGCCUGAGGCCCUGGGUUCAAUUCCUCAGCACCA
rnacentral:tRNA from 1 species